rnacentral:ncRNA from 1 species
CCUCGAUGUCGGCUCGUCGCAUCCUGGGGCUGGAGUCGGUCCCAAGGGUUGGGCUGUUCGCCCAUUAAAGCGGUACGCGAGCUGGGUUUAGAACGUCGUGAGACAGUUCGGUCCCUAUCCGCUGCGCGCGCAGGAAUAUUGAGAAGGGCUGUCCCUAGUACGAGAGGACCGGGACGGACGAACCUCUGGUGUGCCAGUUGUUCUGCCAAGGGCAUGGCUGGUUGGCUACGUUCGGGAGGGAUAACCGCUGAAAGCAUCUAAGCGGGAAGCCUGCUUCGAGAUGAGUAUUCCCACCUCCUAGAGAGGGUAAGGCUCCCAGUAGACGACUGGGUUGAUAGGCCGGAUAUGGAAGCACGGUAACGUGUGGAGUUGACCGGUACUAAUAGGCCGAGGGCUUGUCCUC